GACGGAGGAUGCAAGCGUUAUCCGGAAUGAUUGGGCGUAAAGCGUCCGCAGGUGGCAGUUCAAGUCUGCUGUCAAAGACCGGGGCUUAACUUCGGAAAGGCAGUGGAAACUGAACAGCUAGAGUAUGGUAGGGGCAGAGGGAAUUCCUGGUGUAGCGGUGAAAUGCGUAGAGAUCAGGAAGAACACCAACGGCGAAAGCACUCUGCUGGGCCGACACUGACACUGAGAGACGAAAGCUAGGGGAGCGAAUGGG
rnacentral:rRNA from 1 species